rnacentral:rRNA from 1 species
AGAGUUUGAUCCUGGCUCAGGACGAACGCUGGCGGCGCGCCUAACACAUGCAAGUCGAACGAGCGAGAGAGAGCUUGCUUUCUCGAGCGAGUGGCGAACGGGUGAGUAACGCGUGAGGAACCUGCCUCAAAGAGGGGGACAACAGUUGGAAACGACUGCUAAUACCGCAUAAGCCCACAGGUCGGCAUCGACCAGAGGGAAAAGGAGCAAUCCGCUUUGAGAUGGCCUCGCGUCCGAUUAGCUAGUUGGUGAGGUAACGGCCCACCAAGGCAACGAUCGGUAGCCGGACUGAGAGGUUGAACGGCCACAUUGGGACUGAGACACGGCCCAGACUCCUACGGGAGGCAGCAGUGGGGAAUAUUGCACAAUGGGGGAAACCCUGAUGCAGCGACGCCGCGUGGAGGAAGAAGGUCUUCGGAUUGUAAACUCCUGUUGUUGAGGAAGAUAAUGACGGUACUCAACAAGGAAGUGACGGCUAACUACGUGCCAGCAGCCGCGGUAAAACGUAGGUCACAAGCGUUGUCCGGAAUUACUGGGUGUAAAGGGAGCGCAGGCGGGAAGACAAGUUGGAAGUGAAAUCCAUGGGCUCAACCCAUGAACUGCUUUCAAAACUGUUUUUCUUGAGUAGUGCAGAGGUAGGCGGAAUUCCCGGUGUAGCGGUGGAAUGCGUAGAUAUCGGGAGGAACACCAGUGGCGAAGGCGGCCUACUGGGCACCAACUGACGCUGAGGCUCGAAAGUGUGGGUAGCAAACAGGAUUAGAUACCCUGGUAGUCCACACCGUAAACGAUGAUUACUAGGUGUUGGAGGAUUGACCCCUUCAGUGCCGCAGUUAACACAAUAAGUAAUCCACCUGGGGAGUACGACCGCAAGGUUGAAACUCAAAGGAAUUGACGGGGGCCCGCACAAGCAGUGGAGUAUGUGGUUUAAUUCGACGCAACGCGAAGAACCUUACCAAGUCUUGACAU